rnacentral:rRNA from 1 species
AAUGAACGCCGGCGGCAUGCCUAACACAUGCAAGUCGAACGAGACCUUCGGGUCUAGUGGCGCACGGGUGCGUAACGCGUGGGAAUCUGCCCUUGGGUUCGGAAUAACAGUGAGAAAUUACUGCUAAUACCGGAUAAUGACGUAAGUCCAAAGAUUUAUCGCCCAGGGAUGAGCCCGCGUAGGAUUAGCUAGUUGGUGAGGUAAAGGCUCACCAAGGCGACGAUCCUUAGCUGGCUGAGAGGAUGAUCAGCCACACUGGGACUGAGACACGGCCCAGACUCCUACGGGAGGCAGCAGUGGGGAAUAUUGGACAAUGGGCGAAAGCCUGAUCCAGCAAUGCCGCGUGAGUGAUGAAGGCC